GAUGAACGCUGGCGGCGUGCUUAACACAUGCAAGUCGAACGGAGCUAUGACACGGAGUCUUCGGACGAAGUGCUGUAGCUUAGUGGCGGACGGGUGAGUAACACGUGAGCAACCUACCUUUUGCAGGGGAAUAACUCUGGGAAACCAGAGCUAAUACCGCAUGCCGUGCGCUUGGGGCAUCCCAGGUGCAUGAAAGGAGCAAUCCGGCAGAAGAUGGGCUCGCGUCCGAUUAGGUAGUUGGAGAGGUAAUGGCUCCCCAAGCCGACGAUCGGUAGCCGGACUGAGAGGUCGAUCGGCACAUUGGGACUGAGACACGGCCCAGACUCCUACGGGAGGCAGCAGUGGGAAUAUUGGGCAAUGGGCGGAAGCCUGACCCAGCGACGCCGCGUGAAGGGGAAGGCUUUCGAGUUGUAAACUUCUUUGGGGAGGGACGAAGAUGACGGUACCUCCAGAACAAGCCACGGCUAACUACGUGCCAGCAGCCGCGGU
rnacentral:rRNA from 1 species